AGUCGAGCGGACAGAUGGGAGCUUGCUCCCUGAUGUUAGCGGCGGACGGGUGAGUAACACGUGGGUAACCUGCCUGUAAGACUGGGAUAACUCCGGGAAACCGGGGCUAAUACCGGAUGCUUGUUUGAACCGCAUGGUUCAAACAUAAAAGGUGGCUUCGGCUACCACUUACAGAUGGACCCGCGGCGCAUUAGCUAGUUGGUGAGGUAACGGCUCACCAAGGCAACGAUGCGUAGCCGACCUGAGAGGGUGAUCGGCCACACUGGGA
rnacentral:rRNA from 1 species